rnacentral:sRNA from 1 species
CUGCCCAGGGACCGCGGACCCGGACGCAGGCAGACCAUGUGGACCCUGGUGAGCUGGGUGGCCUUAACAGCAGGGCUGGUGGCUGGAACGUGGUGCCCAGAUGGUCAGUUCUGCCCUGUGGCCUGCUGCCUGGACCCCGGAGGAGCCAGCUACAGCUGCUGCAGUCCCCUUCUGGACAAAUGGCCCACAACACUGAGCAGGCAUCUGGGUGGCCCCUGCCAGGUUGAUGCCCACUGCUCUGCCGGCCACUCCUGCAUCUUUACUGUCUCAGGGACUUCCAGUUGCUGCCCCUUCCCAGAGGUGAGCGUGCCAUCAGCCCAAUGGAGGGGCUUAGGUCUGCAUUUAUGCUUUUCCUGCACUCUCCCACCUGCAGAUAAAAGAGCCCUGCCAAUGCAGGUUUCUCUGUGUUCCACAGGCCGUGGCAUGCGGGGAUGGCCAUCACUGCUGCCCACGGGGCUUCCACUGCAGUGCAGACGGGCGAUCCUGCUUCCAAAGAUCAGGUGCAGCGGGGGUGUGGGUGCAGGGCAGGCAGACGGGCAGCAUGUAGAGCCUGGAACCCA